UACGAAGGUGGCAAGCGUUGUUCGGAUUUACUGGGCGUACAGGGAGCGUAGGCGGUUGGGUAAGCCCUCCGUGAAAUCUCCGGGCCUAACCCGGAAAGUGCGGAGGGGACUGCUCGGCUAGAGAAUGGGAGAGGAGCGCGGAAUUCCCAGUGUAGAGGUGAAAUUCGUAGAUAUUGGGAAGAACACCGGUGGCGAAGGGCGGCUCACUGGACCGAUACUGACGCGUGAGG
rnacentral:rRNA from 1 species